rnacentral:tRNA from 1 species
AAAGACGUAAGCCCGCUGGAUUGGGUUUUUAGCUGUUAACUAGAGUUUUGCAGGAUCGAGGCCUGUCCGUCUUUA